rnacentral:misc_RNA from 1 species
GAUGAAGAACGUAGCGAAAUGCGAUACUUGGUGUGAAUUGCAGAAUCCCGUGAACCAUCGAGUCUUUGAACGCAAGUUGCGCCCGAAGCCAUUAGGCCGAGGGCACGCCUGCCUGGGCGUCACACGUCGUUGCCCCCCCAUCUACUCCUUCGGGAUUGCGGGGGGCGGAUGAUGGCCUCCCGUGCGCCUCGCCGCGCGGUUGGCAUAAAUGCCAAGUCCUCGGCGCCGCACGCCACGACAAUCGGUGGUUGCGAAACCUCGGUUGCCCGUCGUGUGCGGUCGUCGCGCAUCGAGGGCUCGAAAAAAUUGCCGGGUUCCGGCUCGGCUUUCAACGCGACCCCAGGUCAGGCGGGGUUACCCGCUGAAUUUAAGCAUAUCAAUAAGCGGAGGA